AUUAAACGCUGGCGGCAUGCCUUACACAUGCAAGUCGAACGGCAGCACGGGGCAACCUGGUGGCGAGUGGCGAACGGGUGAGUAAAGCAUCGGAACGUGCCCUGGAGUGGGGGAUAACGUAGCGAAAGUUACGCUAAUACCGCAUAUUCUGUGAGCAGGAAAGCAGGGGAUCGCAAGACCUUGCGCUCUGGGAGCGGCCGAUGUCGGAUUAGCUAGUUGGUGGGGUAAAGGCCUACCAAGGCGACGAUCCGUAGCGGGUCUGAGAGGAUGAUCCGCCACACUGGGACUGAGACACGGCCCAGACUCCUACGGGAGGCAGCAGUGGGGAAUUUUGGACAAUGGGCGCAAGCCUGAUCCAGCCAUGCCGCGUGAGUGAAGAAGGCCUUCGGGUUGUAAAGCUCUUUUCGGCCGGGAAGAAAUCGCAUGGGUCAAUACCCUGUGUGGAUGACGGUACCGGAAUAAGAAGCACCGGCUAACUACGUG
rnacentral:rRNA from 1 species